rnacentral:rRNA from 1 species
CCUACGGGAGGCAGCAGUGAGGAAUAUUGGUCAAUGGGCGGGAGCCUGAACCAGCCAAGUCGCGUGAGGGAAGACGGUCCUAUGGAUUGUAAACCUCUUUAGGCGGGGAGCAAUGCCGGGCACGUGUGCCCGGAGGGAGAGUACCCGCAGAAUAAGCAUCGGCUAACUCCGUGCCAGCAGCCGCGGUAAUACGGAGGAUGCGAGCGUUAUCCGGAUUUAUUGGGUUUAAAGGGUGCGUAGGCGGAUUUUUAAGUCAGCGGUAAAAUGUCCGGGCUCAACCCGGGCCGGCCGUUGAAACUGGGGAUCUUGAGUGGGCGAGAAGUAUGCGGAAUGCGUGGUGUAGCGGUGAAAUGCUUAGAGAUCAUACAGAACACCGAUUGCGAAGGCAGCUUACCAAGCUACUUCUGACGUUGAGGCACGAAAGCGUGGGGAGCAAACAGGAUUAGAUACCCGGGUAGUC